UAUUGGCCUUAUUGCAGCCAUGCUGAUGCUACAAUGGGGACAGUGGUUAAUUGUGGGCCCAGAUUAAUACCCCCUGACGGUCGCAAACCAAUUAAGUUGUUGUUCUGCCUACUAUUUGUGGGUUUACAUUU